AUACACAUGUACAUGUAGCUCUGGUCCUGAUAGAUACUCUUGACAAACGUGCUAUCAGAUGUCCAGCACACAAAAUUGAUACCAGCCACAAACAGCUGACAAGCAAUUUUUGUGUAAUUCUUGUGUAUCCUUGAUAUCCUUAUUUGUUGAUCCACCCCUUUAGAGACACAGUAGGUGUGAUUGCUCAAAGCCUCGUCACUAACUGCAAUCACAAGACGAAAUGCCAUUAGGACUGGCAGCAAUCUAGGGAUACAUUAUACAACAUAGUAGUGCUCUCUAGCAAUGGCCUUAUUUUUCCCCCAUUUCAAUGCAGAAGAUCUGGGUUUAGUGAAGUGUACUGCAUUAUAUUAUUGACUAUGGACUUUGGUACUUCUUUCCUGUUUAUCUAAGUACAGAAUGCAUGUUUGACAAAGUAAUUCUUCCAAUCCUUU